UCCAGACUCCUACGGGAGGCAGCAGUAGGGAAUAUUGCUCAAUGGGGGAAACCCUGAAGCAGCAACGCCGCGUGGAGGAUGAAGGUUUUAGGAUUGUAAACUCCUUUUGUUAGAGAAGAUUAUGACGGUAUCUAACGAAUAAGCACCGGCUAACUCCGUGCCAGCAGCCGCGGUAAUACGGGGGAUGCAAGCGUUGUCCGGAAUCAUUGGGCGUAAAGAGUUCGUAGGUGGCACGUUAAGUCUGGUGUUAAAUGCAGAGGCUCAACCUCUGUUCGGCACUGGAUACUGGCGAGCUUGAAUGCGGUAGAGGUAAAGGGAAUUCCUGGUGUAGCGGUGAAAUGCGUAGAUAUCAGGAGGAACAUCGGUGGCGUAAGCGCUUUACUGGGCCGUAAUUGACACUGAGGAACGAAAGCCAGGGUAGCAAAUGGGAUUAGAUACCCGUGUAAA
rnacentral:rRNA from 1 species